GGAUGCGAUCAUACCAGCACUAAAUCACCGGAUCCCAUCAGAACUCCGAAGUUAAGCAUGCUUGGGCGAGAGUAGUACUAGGAUGGGUGACCUCCUGGGAAGUCCUCGUGUUGCAUUCC
rnacentral:rRNA from 1 species